rnacentral:rRNA from 1 species
CCUACGGGAGGCAGCAGUGGGGGAUAUUGCACAAUGGGGGGAACCCUGAUGCAGCGACGCCGCGUGAGCGAUGGAGUACUUCGGUAUGUAAAGCUCUGUCAGCAGGGAAGAAAAUGACGGUACCUGACCAAUAAGCCCCGGCUAACUACGUGCCAGCAGCCGCGGUAAUACGUAGGGGGCAAGCGUUAUCCGGAUGUACUGGGUGUAACGGGGGCGCAGACGGCAAUGCAAGCCAGGAGGGAAAGCCCGGGGCCCAACCCCGGGACUGCUGUUGGAACUGCAUGGAUGGAGUACAGGAGGGGCAGGCGGAAUUCCUGGUGUAGCGGUGAAAUGCGUAGAUAUUAGGAGGAACACCGGUGGCGAAGGCGGCCUGCUGGACUGUGACUGACGUUGAGGCACGAAGGCGUGGGGAGCAAACAGGAUUAGAUACCCUUGUAGUC